rnacentral:rRNA from 1 species
CAGCAGCCGCGGUAAUACGUAGGGUGCGAGCGUUAAUCGGAAUUACUGGGCGUAAAGCGUGCGCAGGCGGUUCGUUAAGACAGAUGUGAAAUCCCCGGGCUUAACCUGGGAACUGCAUUUGUGACUGGCGAGCUAGAGUAUGGCAGAGGGGGGUAGAAUUCCACGUGUAGCAGUGAAAUGCGUAGAGAUGUGGAGGAAUACCGAUGGCGAAGGCAGCCCCCUGGGCCAAUACUGACGCUCAUGCACGAAAGCGUGGGGAGCAAACAGGAUUAGAUACCCGCGUAGUCCCUGUCUCUUAUAC